rnacentral:lncRNA from 1 species
ACAUACAAUGGUCAGCAUGAUAACACUCUUUCGUAUCGCACCACAACAUCCAAAGAACGCAACAAUGAAGAUGAUGCCACCAAGGGCAAUUAACAAGAUGGAAACUCCUCCAAUGUCCUUCGACGACAACUCUUCGUAUUUGUCAUAUUUCAGACGAAUGAGUGCACCUGUGAUUAUGCCAGCAAGGCCGAUCAACUACAGAACAUAUUACAGAACAUAAUAUGAAUUUUU